rnacentral:rRNA from 1 species
AUGCAUGUGUAAGUACAGCCCUAGUAUGGUGAAACCGCGAAUGGCUCAUUAAAUCACACCUGAUAUACAGGAGGUUGCCAGUUACUUGGAUAACUGCGGUAAUUCUGGAGCUAAUACAUGCGCCUCAGACCCGAACUUACGUGAGGGUUGCUUUUAUUAGACCAAGACCAAACGGCUCUCGGGCCGUCCCCCUGGUGAUUCUGAAUAACUUUGAGCGGAUCGCACGGACUCGUGCGGCGACGUCUCCUUCUAAGGUGUGCCCUAUCAACUGUCGACUGUGGCAUAGACGCCCACAGUGGUUUUGACGGGUAACGGGGAAUCAGGGUUCGAUUCCGGAGAGGG